AGAGUUUGAUCCUGGCUCAGAACGAACGCUGGCGGCGUGCUUAACACAUGCAAGUCGAGUGCGCGGUUGUAGCAAUACAACUGNNCACGGCGCACGGGUGCGUAACACGUGGGUAAUCUGCCCUCUGAUGGGGAAUAACUCGCCGAAAGGCGAGCUAAUUCCGCAUAAUAUUCCGAGAACUUUGGUUUUUGGACUGAAAGGCGUAAGUCGUCGGAGGAGGAGCCGCGCACGAUUAGCUAGUUGGUAGGGUAAUGGCCUACCAAGGCUUUGAUCGUUAGCUGGUCUGAGAGGAUGGCCAGCCACACUGGAACUGAGACACGGUCCAGACUCCUACGGGAGGCAGCAGUGGGGAAUCUUGCACAAUGGGCGAAAGCCUGAUGCAGCGACGCCGCGUGGGGGAUGAAGCAUUUCGGUGUGUAAACCCCUUUCGAUCCGGACGAAAACCUCGCAAGAGGAUUGACGGUACGGAUAUAAGAAGCCCCGGCUAACUACGUGCCAGCAGCCGCGGUAAGACGUAGGGGGCCAGCGUUGUUCGGAAUUACUGGGUGUAAAGGGUUCGUAGGCGGUGCGGCAAGUUGGGAGUGAAAUCUCUGGGCUCAACCCAGAGGCUGCUUCCAAAACUGCUGUGCUUGAGUGUGAGAGAGGCUCGUGGAAUUGCAGGUGUAGCGGUGAAAUGCGUAGAUAUCUGCAGGAACACCCGUGGCGAAAGCGGCGAGCUGGAUCACUACUGACGCUGAGGAACGAAAGCUAGGGGAGCAAACAGGAUUAGAUACCCUAGUAGUCC
rnacentral:rRNA from 1 species